GAUGAACGCUGGCGGCGUGCCUAACACAUGCAAGUCGAGCGUGAUUUAUGAGGACGAAACUUCGGUCUAGGAAUCAUAAUGAAAGCGGCGGACGGGUGAGUAACGCGUAGGCAACCUGCCCUUGACACAGGGAUAGCCUCGGGAAACCGGGAUUAAAACCUGAUGACGCCAAACAGUCACAUGGCUGUUUGGCCAAAGAUUUAUCGGUCAAGGAUGGGCCUGCGUCUGAUUAGUUUGUUGGUGGGGUAACGGCCUACCAAGACGACGAUCAGUAGCCGACCUGAGAGGGUGAUCGGCCACAUUGGAACUGAGACACGGUCCAAACUCCUACGGGAGGCAGCAGUGGGGAAUAUUGCACAAUGGGCGAAAGCCUGAUGCAGCAACGCCGCGUGAGCGAUGAAGGCCUUUGGGUCGUAAAGCUCUGUCCUUGGGGAAGAAACAAAUGACGGUACCCAAGGAGGAAGCCCCGGCUAACUACGUGCCAGCCGCCGCAGUAA
rnacentral:rRNA from 1 species